rnacentral:lncRNA from 1 species
CACGAGUAAGAUAUUGCCAGACUGCAUCCUCCCAGUGCCGGAGAGAUCGACCAUAACGCCGGAGCGAAGCUGUGAAACGCCGAAUUUAACAUCAUUUCAAAAACAAAUGUCAGACAACACAUUACAAACGUUGGACUGACCCCAUUCUAGUAAGUAAAUUGCCGGAGCACUGCUUCAAAUUGCUAGACUGCCCACAUUACAGUAAUCAUUUUGCUGGACCACGCACAUACACUGUCGGACAACUGCAUCAAAACACAUGAGUGAUUUUAUUACAGGGCGCAAAAUGCCGGACCGCGCCCACAAAAUACUGGGCUGCCUAUGCAAACGUUGGAUCGACGGUUACAAAAUGCCGAACUGCCUACACAAAUAUCGGUCUGCCUAUGCAAAUGUCGGACUGCCUACGAAACACACUUUUUAACGUAGAAGUUAAAAAAAGGGAGGGGGGGGGGGGGGAGAUAAUUUUGUCUUUAUUUUUAUUGUUUUUAGGUUGGGGGGUAUUAGUUAGAAAAGAUAAUUUUUAAGAAAAGGCAGUGCAGAAAGUUUAGGAUGGGGGUAGAGUGUCUAGAAAGUAUAUUUAGGGGGUUUUCAGCAAUUUUCCCUUAAAAAAAAAAGAAUUGCACCACAAAAGAUGCAAAUAAUCCACAACAUAGUGCAAAAAAAAAAACUAAUAUUAACAUUCCAUUCAUGUCAAAAAGACCAAUAAUAAAUAAAAAUUGAAAAAAAAAAAAGAAACUGGACAACAAACCUAUGAAUGAUUCUUUAGUUAAAUGAGUAAAAUAAACCAGCUUGACCCUGUUAAAGUUGGGUAUCGAUAUUUCACAUGAUCACUUUAAUAGAGAUACCCUAUUAGAUUUGGGUAUUCUCUAUAGAAAACAAACGUUAAUAGCAAAACCCUGUAAAGUUCUAGAGAGAGACAAGUGAAACCUUCAACCACAAUAUCGAGAGAUAUACCAAAAUUAUCUCAAAGUUCUAAAGAGAGACUCAAACCCAAUUGAAGAUUCAAUGAUAUCUAGUGACAACACAAAAAGGGGCUCUGAAAGGCCUCUGAGACAUUCUAAAGAGAGAAACAAAGGGACCAAAACCGAGAAAGAGAGAGAGAUGGAUGAACGUACCUAGUAUCCUUUGUAAAGAGCAAGAGAGUAGGGUUCUUGGAUGGCGAGAACGACAAGUAGAGGGUGAGCUAUGGGCGAGGAGGAGAGAAGUUGCAGGGUUGAGCUUCGGUGGGCCGAGCGAGGUUGAGAAACUUAGGGCCUGCGGCGAAAAGAGGGACUACUGCGAAAAUAGGGAUGGCUCAGCUGCGAAGAUAGGGAUGGCUCAGGGCAAAACAAUCGGGGGUGAAGUUUUUU